AAAAAUUGAUCUACUGAGUUCUGCACUUCAUCUUUUGGAUAAUCAACCCCCAAACAAACAUGUUCACUUUGCUGAAGACAGGGAGGAAGCUAGAGAAAUUAAGUCGAGGCCAUCACAAAAUAGCAAGCCUGUUUUUGAAGAUGUUCCAAAACGGA